GCUGAAGUAGCUCAGUUGGGAGAGUGUUAGAGUGAAGAUCUAGAGGUCCCUGGUUCGAUCCCAGUCUUCAGCA
rnacentral:tRNA from 1 species